AUGAAGGCCGCACGCCACUGCCAGCGAGACACCGCCGCCAGGACGCACAAGCCGCCAUCGUGUACAUGCGAGGGCCGAGGAGGAGCUGUGCCUUCUUCCGCGCACCAACGCGUGUGUUGCCCGAUGCGCCGCGAGUUUCGGCCACAACGCCUCAUCUCGCUGCGCCUCACCUCCACCACGCCGGACAGCCCAGAUCUCCUCUCGGGUCCGAGUGAUUCCUUAAAUUCUUGCGUGUGUAAUUUCUUGUUUUUCAUUAUCAACGAAAGAAAUCUGCAAAUUCUCUUGUUUCCGCCUAGGUGUCUGAAACCCUAA
rnacentral:rRNA from 1 species